GAUAUCUUCGCUGACGUGAGCCAAACGGGAGGCUUCCUCCCCUUCCUCCUUCCUCCCCAGGCAGUGACCUUGCAAGCUCAUCAGCAGACUGGUCCAGCGUGGGGGAGAACUGGAGCAAGCAAGCCAGGGAUGGCUAGGACUGAGGAAGGAGGAGAGAGCACGAGGAAGAAGAAUGGAGCUGCGGGAGGAUGGAGAGGGGCGCAGUUGCAGCAGAGAUGAAAUGGUGCGCCUAGUCUUCAGCAAGUCAAUACUGAAGAACGGAAUACAGCUUUUAAUUCGACUUGGUUAUGGAGCCCGUCUUGAUGAAACAGUGGUUAACAUGAAGGUACUUCGUAAAAUCAACUGCCCCUAAGACUUUCUGACAGUUUCUUCAAACCUCAUCUGGCUCCCCCUGCACGCUGUUUGGACGUGCCCAGCCGCCCCGGCAGGAAAGCCAACUAGUCGGCCGCCGGACUCUACCAAUUCUGGAUGGCGGGGGCAUUUAUGCCAGGUAUCACCUACACCAAGGUAGGGGGAAGCGGGAACGGUGCCGCGAUGCCCGCUGGGAAAUGGAGUCCAAUCUUUUUGACAACUCAGACACUUGUCAUCCUCCACGAGCCUCCGGGGACUUUUUCUUCGAGUCCCCCCAGGGCCCAGAGCCCGAAGGGAAGUAUUACCCGGCCCGGGGUCUUGAAGGCUGUACUCCUUGUCAGAUGCCAGUGUUAAAAGUAAGACGUUACACGCACACGUGAAGCGUACUGCUGAGUUAUUGCUGAAGCUCCAACUCCUCCCCAGACAGUACGAGCACCUGCUUCUGCCUUGAUCAUUAAAGGGGAAGGUGCCCCAAAGCCUAAGCAUUUCUCUUAUGCCGCGGGCCUAGUGAACAAAAAAAGCUGUCACUUGUGAUUUUUGUCCCACUCCUGAAUAUGGAGGCAGGUUUUAAUGGACACAGGCUUCCUCCACCGCAGCACCCCUACCCUCGAUCCAGAAACUGGUUUCCCUAUCUUGGCCUUUCUGUUCCAAGCGCCAGACCUAUUGGUGAAACAGCCCCGAGGCAGUUACAGCCAAGCUGCAGAAUGAUAGCGGAGAAUUUCUUUGGGGCCCUAUGGGGAAAAACAGGAAGUGGUAGAGACAAGAUGGGCAGGGCCCUGAAGAACCCUGUGCAAAGUGGCCUUCCUGGCUAGUUUAUUUGGUUGGGUCAAUAAGGGCUUCAGAUGUGCACUACGUUAGUAGGUCCCCAACUGCCCAGCAGCCACAGAACACCCAGCCCUUUGACGCUCCUUUAAUGCCAUGCAAGGAUCUCCUUCGCCCAGCUCCCAGGAAUGUUUGCCCUUCUCAGUCUGCUCCACCUCUAGGAAGCAGUCCGUAAGCCUCAGUCGUGUGUCCCAAAGCCCAGAGGACAUGGAGGAAGAACCGCGGUCAUUCGUGGACAUCCCAGAUCUCAGACAGCAGCGGGGGAAGCUUUUUGUCCUGCAGGCGAAGCGCAAACACUUGCUCUGAAUGGACGCUGCUCAAUGUCCGGAGGCUCACCAACUUCAUUAGCAUCCGUGGGAACAUCAGUCGGUCCUGGAAAAAAAAGAGUGAAAGAAGAAAGAAAGAAAGAAGUCUAGCUGUUGCUCUUCCCUAGAGAAGAGAAGAUGCUGAUGGCGAUGAGCAAGGCAAACUCGGCAUCGUUGAGCUGCAGUUCGUUCAUGGCUCUGGAGAACUCAAAGAUGGGA